GAAUAAAAUCGUUGCGAGACUCAAAGUCUGUCGAAACCCCAUGCGCCUUCAAACGAGCAUAGCGCCAGUGAUCAUUCAAUGGCGUGUUUGCUGACCGGAGGCGCCCAAGUUUCGCGCUUUCAUUUCUCCUCCCAUUCAU
ensembl:ncRNA F54H12.9 ncRNA